rnacentral:rRNA from 1 species
UACGAAGGGUGCAAGCGUUGCUCGGAAUUAUUGGGCGUAAAGGGUAGGUAGGUGGUGAUAUUUGUCUGGGGUGAAAUCCCUGAGCUUAACUCAGGAAGUGCCUUGGAAACGGUAUCACUAGAGUGCUGGAGAGGUUCGCAGAAUUCUUGGUGUAGCGGUGAAAUGCGUAGAGAUCAAGAGGAAUACCAGAGGCGAAGGCGGCGAACUGGACAGUUACUGACACUAAACUACGAAAGCGUGGGGAGCAAACAGG